rnacentral:sRNA from 1 species
UGUUCACCAUCCUGCGCCAUUCUGGCCGC